GAACGCGAAGAACCUUACCAGGUCUUGACAUCCCUCUGACCGCUCUAGAGAUAGAGCUUUCCUUCGGGACAGAGGUGACAGGUGGUGCAUGGUUGUCGUCAGCUCGUGUCGUGAGAUGUUGGGUUAAGUCCCGCAACGAGCGCAACCCCUAUUGUUAGUUGCCAUCAUUGAGUUGGGCACUCUAGCGAGACUGCCGGUAAUAAACCGGAGGAAGGUGGGGAUGACGUCAAAUCAUCAUGCCCCUUAUGACCUGGGCUACACACGUGCUACAAUGGCUGGUACAACGAGUCGCAAGCCGGUGACGGCAAGCUAAUCUCUUAAAGCCAGUCUCAGUUCGGAUUGUAGGCUGCAACUCGCCUACAUGAAGUCGGAAUCGCUAGUAAUAGCGGAUCAGCACGCCGCGGUGAAUACGUUCCCGGGUCUUGUACACACC
rnacentral:rRNA from 1 species